rnacentral:rRNA from 1 species
UACCAGACUCCUACGGGAGGCAGCAGUGGGGAAUAUUGCACAAUGGGGGAAACCCUGAUGCAGCGACGCCGCGUGAGCGAUGAAGUAUUUCGGUAUGUAAAGCUCUAUCAGCAGGGAAGAAGAUGACGGUACCUGACUAAGAAGCCCCGGCUAACUACGUGCCAGCAGCCGCGGUAAUACGUAGGGGGCAAGCGUUAUCCGGAUUUACUGGGUGUAAAGGGAGCGUAGACGGCGAUGCAAGCCAGAUGUGAAAGCCCGGGGCUCAACCCCGGGACUGCAUUUGGAACUGUGUGGCUGGAGUGUCGGAGAGGCAGGCGGAAUUCCUAGUGUAGCGGUGAAAUGCGUAGAUAUUAGGAGGAACACCAGUGGCGAAGGCGGCCUGCUGGACGAUGACUGACGUUGAGGCUCGAAAGCGUGGGGAGCAAAUAGGAUUAGAUACCCCUGUAA